CUGAAGCCCGCACUUCCUGAGCAUCGGUGGUUUAAUAGGUUCUUCCCAUCCUUCACAAUUCAACUGAGGGGUCAUCUCCUAUCCAUUCCCACCCCACCCCCAUCUGGGAUGAGUACCCUUUUUGCUUCACAAAUACCCUAUACAUUGGUCACACUGCACUGGAGUUAUGGAAGGGGAAGACUUUGCUCCAGGUGUAGCUAGAAGGAUAUGAGGAGUCCACCAGGAGAGUAAAGGAUGAUACAUGCUUAGACUUCCAAGGAAAAGCUUUGAAUGGAUUUCCCAUAAAAAUAAAUUCUGUGUCAUUACCUUGGAAAUUCUUGAGGACAGCACACUGUCUUAUUCGUCUUAAUAUACCUGACCCUUGAACCUCACCUGAUACCCUGUAGGAAUCCAGCACGGGUUUGUUGAAUUAAUAUCAAUCUUGUAUAAAAUUAGUUUUAUGGGAAAUAUGUUUAACUUAUGUAAGUUAACUACUUACAUAACUUAAAAUUUAUUAAACUUAUUUAUGGGAAAUUACUUCAAUUUAUAAAAUUUUGGAAAAUAGUUUAAUUUUUAGUUGAGGGUUGCCUCCUCUAGUACUCAACAUCUAUCCCUAAAUGUCUGUAGAAAGACAUCAACCUGACAUUUUUACACACACAAAUGAGUCACUUCCAAAAAUAAGCACCAUUUCUGGCCCUACACUUACUUAAUUCAUGAACCUGUAAUUUGCCUUUGGAAAAAUCAUCUCAUAAAAUGAUGAUGACUUGAGGUUUAAGAAAUUUGGCGCAGAGCUAGAAAAAGGUAAACUUUGUGGCACCACUGCAAAAUACAAAAUGUAAGCAGCAUUUAAUGUCAGUAGCUGUUUAAUGCAAGCAUUCACUGUAGCAGACAGUCUUCCUUUAGAAAACACAGGCCAAUGACAGGGGAUAACAAAUAGAUGCCAUUUCCAGAGAAAGUAGGAGUGUUCUUUCCAGAAGAAACAUGAUAACUGGGGAAAAAAUUAGCAAAAGGUGACUUUGGAAGAGUGUCUAGGGAGUAUAUAAUGCAAUGGCUAUUCAGGUAUAUAUUCAUCAAAGCUGUUGACAUACUUCUCUUAUUAGUCAAUGUUUAAAGUGUUGUUUUAAGAAAAUGUUGCAUCUGGGAAGUACCAGAGGCAAGAGGGUCUGGAGUGGCUGCCGCUAAACCCCUUGCUAAUUGGACACACCAGCUACCACUACAACACUUGUCUACAGCCUUACCUGACAGGUUCAACAGCCUGCAUUAACUCAACAUUUAGAAUUAACAUGUUUACUUAAGAAACACAAAGUCUGAUUCAAUUAGCAUCCAAAGUCAUGGAGGUUACAGAAUUUAAUGUUGGAGGUUCUUCUUAAAAAAUUAUAAUCCGAUGUUUACAGAACGUAAUGAUGAGAUGUAUGUUUUUUUUGUCUUAGAGGCUGAAAACAUAAAAUAUUGGAUUAAAAUUAUGAAGCUACUCCGACAUGAUCUAUUAAGAGCUCUGAAUGAUGCCUAAGGAUGUAGAAGAAGAGAAAAACACUUGACUCUUGGACGAAGGAGAGACCUCACUGAAGCUUCGGAUUCGCUUAGAGACCCAGGAAAUAGCACUGGUGGAGGUGAAGCGUCUGGAAGCCUAAAGACGGCUCUAGGUGCCCCUUCUCCCUUAGAGUCCUGAUAUGGCCUCGAAUGAAAAGAGACAACACCCCUUUUCUCCAGUGAUAAAACACUCUGCCCACACCAUCUUCCCUCCCUUUCCUUAGUGUGGAGAUGUGGGUUUGCUCUUCCCUUUAUCUGCACGCCUUGGUCAUACUGUCUUGUGAGAAUCAAUAAUUUAGUAAUUAGCCACUGUCUUAGCUUCAGAAUUAUUUCUAUUAGGGAAAUAGUUUAGUGUUUGAUUUGUGUCUUUUAUGUCCACUUAGCACUUUGAGGGAAUUAUUUAAUUACCUAAGUUUAAGGUUUAGGUUGAUACAGUUUUGCUUGUCCCCAUUUCAGUGCUAAGGUAAAAGAGGCCUAAAUUAUCCCACAUUCUUACCUAGUGAGUAAGUUGAAAUUAUAACCUGUAUCUGAAUAGAAAAUAAAUUAAGUUUUUUCCCAAUUUGAGGCUGACAAAUACAUUAAUAUGAUGAAGUCAAAGAUGAUUUCAUCUUGCCACUUCUCCGGAAGUCGUGGAUGAACGUAUCCAGGAUAUCUGAAAGAUUCUCCUUCUCACACUGCUUUCCCUAUGGGAAACAGCGUGAGGGAAAGGAAAUUGAGUCCUGACCCUCCCUGGAGGAAAUGCUUACACAUAUUUGGAAUCUGAGGGGCAGCUGCCAAUUUCACCUGGGGGCAGGAAGUACACACCUGUUAGCUACAUGGUUUUUAGAAUAGCCUGUAUUUGGCCAGAUUACAAGGAACACUGUUGUUACGGCAUCAAAAAAGGAAGCUGACUUACAUGCAAGUAAUCCUUAUUAAAGGGGAUUUUAGGAAGCUGGACACUUGAGAAAAGCAGGCAACUGUGAAAAGAAUAUAUCCUGCUUCCCUUUGUAAAAGCCAACAAUUACCCCAAAUUGGGUUGGGAUUAGAUAAGGCAAUCUGUUGUAAUAGAGUUGAUAUCUGGGAAGGGAAGAAGUUUGAGUUAUUCAGAGAUAAACCUCUUAUCAUGGUUCCCUUUCCUUGAUCAUCUUUAUCCUUUCACCCCACCCCUACCUUUAUACCUAGUGGUUGCUGGUGGGUUGAGGAAGGAAUGACUUGGGAAGUGCUCCUUAACCAGGCUUUUGUCUGCAUUGUCCAAGGCUCAAGGCUUUCUCUUCAGCAGACUAUCCUGCCCUGUCAUUAGUCCUAGUGGCAAAAGAGCCACAUUCUCAUGAACUGACCCAUGCAGAGAACAGGUCACCUCAGAUGGAGGCUUGCUGCUUUGUUUAAAGGCUACCCAGAUUCCUAGGUGUUGAGGCAAGAGGCAAAUAUGUGGGCACACUUUCAUUGCUCCUUAGUUUGUUUUUUGAGCAGUGGAAGAAAUGCGGUUCCACCUGCUGGCUGAGUGCAUGGUUUCACGUGGGCAUGGUAGAUUCUGACCUUUUCUGAUUGCAACUGCAAAAAGAGUCUCUGUGAGAGAAACAGUUAAUUCUCUCUGAAUGUUACUAGAGUUUAGGGAGAAUAAGUAUUUUUUUCCCCCCUCUUUUUAUAUUUCCCCUUCACUUAUGCUUAAAAACAGGUAAUUGGAGCAGGGCUGCAAAGUGUAAUCUUGCCCCAAGGCUAAGUUUGCCACCUAAUGACACAUGGUUGUUCUUUACUGAGGCAGUCUUGCACUCAUUAUCCCUAAAUUAGCUCCCUUUUCUCUUUUGCUUUAUUAUUCAUCCACCUUCUUCCUUUGGAUUUUUCCAAGUGAACCAUGGCAAAGUGUGUCUUUGUGAGGUUGUGUGUCUGUGCAACAGUGCAUCUGUGUGAGAGAGUGAAUAGCCCCCACGCCAUUCCCCUCAUUUACAUUGUUUAUUGAAGCUGCAGCAGUGGA